UACGUAGGGGGCUAGCGUUGUCCGGAUUUAUUGGGCGUAAAGAGCGUGUAGGCGGCCAGGUAGGUCUGCUGUGAAAACUCGAGGCUCAACCUCGAGAUGUCGGCGGAAACCAUCUGGCUAGAGUCCGGAAGAGGAGAGUGGAAUUCCUGGUGUAGCGGUGAAAUGCGCAGAUAUCAGGAAGAACACCCGUGGCGAAGGCGGCUCUCUGGGACGGUACUGACGCUGAGACGCGAAAGCGUGGGGAGCGAACAGG
rnacentral:rRNA from 1 species